rnacentral:rRNA from 1 species
GACGAACGCUGGCGGCGUGCUUAACACAUGCAAGUCGAACGGAAAGGCCUGCUUUCCCUUGUGGAUUGCGGGUACUCGAGUGGCGAACGGGUGAGUAACACGUGAGUGAUCUGCCCCCAACUUGGGUAUAAGCCUGGGAAACUGGGUCUAAUUCCCGAUAGGACUGCAGGGUGGUGCCUGUGGUGGAAAACGAUUUUCUAGUGGUUGGGGAUGAGCUCGCGGCCUAUCAGCUUGUUGGUGGGGUAAUGGCCUACCAAGGCGGCGACGGGUAGCCGGCCUGAGAGGGUGGACGGCCACAUUGGGACUGAGAUACGGCCCAGACUCCUACGGGAGGCAGCAGUGGGGAAUAUUGCACAAUGGGCGGAAGCCUGAUGCAGCGACGCCGCGUGGGGGAUGACGGCCUUCGGGUUGUAAACUCCUUUCGACCGCGAGGAAGCCACCUGGUUGGAAGGGUGGUGACGGUAGUGGUACAAGAAGCACCGGCUAACUACGUG